AUACGGAGGGUCCGAGCGUUAUCCGGAAUCAUUGGGUUUAAAGGGUCCGUAGGCGGGAAUCUAAGUCAGUGGUGAAAUCUUGCAGCUCAACUGUAAAAUUGCCAUUGAUACUGGAUUUCUUGAAUUAGUGUGAAGUGGUUAGAAUGUGUAGUGUAGCGGUGAAAUGCAUAGAUAUUACACAGAAUACCAAUUGCGAAGGCAGAUCACUAACACUAUAUUGACGCUGAGGGACGAAAGCGUGGGGAGCGUACAGGAUUAGAAACCCCAGUAGUCC
rnacentral:rRNA from 1 species